rnacentral:rRNA from 1 species
UACGGAAGGUCCCGGCGUUAUCCGGAUUUAUUGGGUUUAAAGGGAGCGUAGGCCGUGGAUUAAGCGUGUUGUGAAAUGUAGACGCUCAACGUCUGACUUGCAGCGCGAACUGGUUCACUUGAGUGUGCGCAACGCAGGCGGAAUUCGUGGUGUAGCGGUGAAAUGCUUAGAUAUCACGAAGAACUCCGAUUGCGAAGGCAGCUUGCGGGAGCACAACUGACGCUGAAGCUCGAAAGUGCGGGUAUCAAAC